rnacentral:rRNA from 1 species
GACGAACGCUGGCGGCGUGCUUAACACAUGCAAGUCGAACGGUAAGGCCUUCGGGUACACGAGUGGCGAACGGGUGAGUAACACGUGGGUGAUCUGCCCUGCACUUUGGGAUAAGCCUGGGAAACUGGGUCUAAUACCGGAUAGGACUACGCACUGCAUGGUGUGUGGUGGAAUGCUUUUGCGGUGUGGGAUGGGCCCGCGGCCUAUCAGCUUGUUGGUGGGGUGAUGGCCGACCAAGGCGACGACGGGGAGCCGGCCUGAGAGGGUGUCCGGCCACACUGGGACUGAGAUACGGCCCAGACUCGUACGGGAGGCAGCAGUGGGGAAUAUUGCACAAUGGGCGCAAGCCUGAUGCAGCGACGCCGCGUGGGGGAUGACGGCCUGCGGGUUGUAAACCCCUUUCAGCACAGAGGAAGCGCGAGUGACGGUAUGUGCAGAAGAAGGACCGGCCAACUACGUGCCAGCCGCCGCAGUAA